CACGUAGGCGGACUUAUAAGUCAGGGGUGAAAUCCCGGGGCUCAACCUCGGAACUGCCUUUGAUACUGUAAGUCUCGAGUCCGGAAGAGGUGAGUGGAAUUCCUAGUGUAGAGGUGAAAUUCGUAGAUAUUAGGAAGAACACCAGUGGCGAAGGCGGCUCACUGGUCCGGUACUGACGCUGAGGUGCGAAAGCGUGGGGAGCAAACA
rnacentral:rRNA from 1 species